rnacentral:pre_miRNA from 1 species
CCUUAAUCCUUGCACUGUCAUGAGUCACAGAGUAAGGAAAAUCUUCAGUGGCAAAUGUCUGUUGUUAGGGUGAAAGGA